rnacentral:misc_RNA from 1 species
UACUUGCUCAUACCAUCAAGCACCCGGUCCCCAAUUAGCAUUUGUAUAGGAAUUUCCAGAAAAUAAGGCACAGUUGCAACUGCAUCUUCCAUCUCAGGUCUCCUUCCACAUAUAGAUGUAACUCCCCAAAGCGGCACAUAGUCAACCUCAAAAACACUGCAUGUGACUGUUCCCCUCACUCCUUUUCCCAGAGCCAACUGAAGUACAACUGCAUAUGGCUUUGGGUCAGAUCCAUCUCCAAUCUCUUCCUCAAGGCUCACUGCCACAGAAACAGAAUCUCUCACGACCUCUGUCUCAACAUUUGACUCCAAAUCCGCGGCAUUAGCAAUAAUAUCAACACUGCAAA